rnacentral:tRNA from 1 species
CAGGAUAGGGCUGUAAAGUAUUUCGUUUACAUCGAAAAAUGGGUUGUUUAGUCAACAUAUCCUGA